rnacentral:tRNA from 1 species
GAGAUGUUAGCUCAAUGGUAGAGUACUCGGCUUUUAACCGAAUGGUUCUGGGUUCGAAUCCCAGACAUCUCA